rnacentral:rRNA from 1 species
UACGUAGGGUCCGAGCGUUGUCCGGAAUUACUGGGCGUAAAGAGCUCGUAGGUGGUUUGUCGCGUUGUUCGUGAAAACUCACAGCUCAACUGUGGGCGUGCGGGCGAUACGGGCAGACUAGAGUACUGCAGGGGAGACUGGAAUUCCUGGUGUAGCGGUGGAAUGCGCAGAUAUCAGGAGGAACACCGGUGGCGAAGGCGGAUCUCUGGGCCUUACCUGACGCUGAGGCGCGAAAGCUAGGGGAGCAAACAGG